UACGGAAGGUGCAAGCGUUAAUCGGAAUUACUGGGCGUAAAGCGCGCGUAGGCGGCUUCGUAAGUGGAAUGUGAAAUCCCCCGGCUUACCCGGGGACCGGCAUCCCAUACUGCUUGGCUUGAGUACGGGAGAGGAUGUGGGAAUUCCUGGUGUAGCGGUGAAAUGCGUAGAUAUCAGGAGGAACACCGGUGGCGAAGGCGCACAUCUGGCCCGAUACUGACGCUGAAGCGCGAAAGCUAGGGGAGCAAACGGG
rnacentral:rRNA from 1 species